CCACAGAGUCUCGCUCUGUCUCCCGGACUGGAGUGCAGUGGUGCGAUCUCGGCUCACUGCAAGCUCUGCCUCCCUGGUUCACGCCAUUCUCCUGCCUCAGCCUCUCGAGUAGCUGGGACUACAGGGGCCAUCACACCCAGCUAAUUUUUUGUACUUUUAGUAGAGAUGGGGUUUCACCAUGUUAGCCAGGAUGGUCUUGUUCUCCUGACCUCGCGAUCUGCCCUCCUCGGCCUCCCAAAGUGCUGGGAUUACAGGCGUGAGCCACAGCGCCCGGCCAAAAUCUUAAACUAAAUUUUAGAACUCAACACACUCAUAAAUUUGGACAGUAUCUAAAUGUAAUAUGUUAAACUAUUACAUAUAAUAUAUCUUGGCCAUUUUCUUUCCUGAAUAGUUAUCAUAUAUGCUUUAUUAAUAUACCUAAGAUCGUUUUACUUUAUUUUUGUAAUCAAAUAGCCAGACUUAAAGGAGACUAAGAAAUUUUAAAAGUUAAAAAAUAUGAAUUAAGCAGGUAGAGCUAUCAUCAAGAUGUAAAAUUCAUUUUAAUAUAAUAGAAUUAUUUCAAUUUGUAUUCCACUUGCUAAUAAAUUUACAUUUGAUAAGUUAAAGAGUUAAUGAAACUCACUGGUAUUUAUUAUCUUUUUGAUAGCUCUAGGAUAAUAUGUUUUUAUUUGCACUCAGAAGCACAUCCUGCAUUCAUUUUUAUUAGUUUUAAUAUAUGGAUAGACUGCAGUAAAUAUUAUUACUAGAAAUCUGUGGCUUGCUUGCUUUCUCCAAAGGAUCUGGAAACUAAUAGAUUUCUCACAUGCAUUUAAAAGAUUGCUGAACAAGAAUUAACGUUAACUUUUGUGUCUGCUUGUGGGCUAAACAACAAUUAUUGCACAUUUUUAUUUCUGGAAUUCAUCAUUUCUCAUCUUUUAUUUGUUAUUAUGCUUAAAACCUGACCCCUGUUUUAGGACAGAAACUACCUCUUGGGCGUCAUCAGUGAUUUCAUAUAAUCUACCUUUACCCCAUGUUCAUGCUGUGGGAUCUUUCUACUUGGCCAGAAUUUCUAUUAGAAAUCUGAUAGUUAACAGGCAUUGGCAUUCUAAGGAAUAAAGAAAGAUGACUGUCCUUCUUGAAGAGUACAUCUGUUAUUAGUGGUAGGGAUAAUGUUCCUUAAUUGUACUUCUGUUGGGUUACUAACAAUGUCUACAUAGAUUAGAGAUCUCAGAGUCAAGAUGUCCAAAAUCAAAGACCUCUUUUCCAAUUAUUUUUCUUCCUUCUUUCCUCAUUGUAUUGAUUAAUACCACCGUUCCUUGCAUUCCUGGGCAAAAGUACAAUGAGAAUAGAGACAUCCUGUUCUGCAGACGGAGAAUGGUGUCAGAACAAGAUGAAGUUCCUAAGAUACAGACACCAUAAUAUAAUAUUGUAAAAGUCACAAAAUCCUAAGUAGAAAAACAGAACAAAAAAGGGUAGACAGGAGAAAGAAAGUUCUAAUUGAAGGGCAUGGUGAUACAUAUACAUUUAUGAAGAAUAACUUUUAAAUUCCAAAUAUAGUAAAAAUCAAACACAUCCAUACAACAAUCAUGUGGGAAGAAUACUUGUAGAAUGUUGCUAUUCUAUCCUUUUUGCAGAUCUCAUUGCAGAUGAAGGAAUUAUUGUCCAAAGUGUUUUGUUUUCCUGAAUGGUUUUCCUGUCAUUUAUGAGGAGACUUUAAGCUAUAAUGCUGAGUUUUAUACACUAUGCUGCAGAGCAUUUCUUUAGCAAGAACCGGAAUUAGAGUGAGAGCAGGAAAGAAGUAAAAUAAAAACAUUAAAUAAAUGUAAUAUGCAGAGGCAGAGAAGCUUUGGGAUUCGUGGAAAAUAAUACAAAGAAAUUCAUGAAAUAACAUUUACAAAUGAUGAGAUAGAAGGAGAGGAAAAGUUAGGGUAUUGUUUUAAUUUAAAUUGUUUUAAUUUAAAAGACAGUCUUAACCUGAAGCAAACACUUCAGUGCUGAAAAGCACAACCAAUUAUCUUUUUUUGAAAGCAGUUUCCACCUGAAAGGGAUGGAAAUUAGGAAGUGAAGAGAUGAAAAAGAGACUGCCUUGGGAAUAUUGUCUCAGAAUGCAUGUAUUUAACUCUCUAGUAAAUCUGGCAGUGAACCACCAUCUGGUGACCACAGUGAUGAAAAAUAUUCCUAUUGGUUAAGAACAAUGUCUGAACUUUAGAAAAGAGCAUUCAUAUUUUAUAGAGAUCUAUGUAUAUCCAUUACAUAAUCAUUUUCUAGUCAAAAAGACAAUGGUCUUGCUUUAAGAGGACCCAGCGAAUAUUUCAAAUAUAUGUGAUAUUUUGUGAUAAUAUGCAAGAGCAUUCAUUAUAAAACAUUUUAAUAAUUUGAAGGGAAAAUCCUAAAGGCUGUAAUGUUAUUAUAGAACUCAUAAUACAUAUGCAUAACAUAAACUAAAUAUUGGUCAAAGCUAUAUAAGCAGAUACAGAUAUGUGGUUUUUGAAAUAAGUGUCUACAUAUUUAUAUUCUUGAACUUCCUCAAUCUCUUUUGAAGAUAUAUCUAGAUUUAAAAAAAUGAAAUAAAAUUACUCCCAUAAAUUCUCCAAGUCAGACUCAGAGCACACAAGGGCACUCCAGCUAUGAAAGUUUGAUAGAUUUUAUACUGAAGAAGUAUAAAAUGUAAUUGAGUACACUUUCUUUUUUCUUUCAGCAGAAAGCAUAUUUAUACCACUUAAACUACUCUUAUCUAGCCUUAAGCAUCUUAUAAAUAAGAAAUUAUUCAGAGGGAAAAUUUAUAUUUACCCUUAGAAUAUGCAAGAACUAUGGGUUAGUCAAUGUAAAAUUAAUGAGAAGCUCACAAAGUAUCACAGACAUGUAAUAUGUCUACAGUGCAUAUAUGGCAGUGGUUAUGAAUCCUGGCUGCAAGGUACAAUAGAUUCUGCAAGGUUUUAAUUUUUUUAUUUUAUUUUUUGCUACAUUAUAUUUGUCCAUAUUUAUGGGGUAUAUGUGAAAUGUUAUUACAUGCAUAGAAUGUGUGAUGAUCAAGUCAGUGUAGUUAGGGUAUCCUUUACGCCAGUAUUAUCCUGUCUAAGCGUUGGGUACAUUUCAAGUCCUAGUUUAAAAAAAUCAGGAACUAUUCCAGACUUACUACCUCAUCAUCUCCAGGAAAGUGACCUAGAAGUCUUUAUUUUGAAAGUAUUUUAUUAUUGAUUGUCCUGUUUGGUCAGUAUUGAGAAACUAUGGAUAUAUGCAGUUUUUCUUAAUAAUCGUGGAAAUUUGGAGCUGAUAGGGAUCUAAGAUUCAUCUAGUCCAAUCUGCACAUCAGUAUCUAAAUCAGAUACAUUUGGCUGUGGUUUUGAUUAGUGUAUAUAAUGAAAUCAAUAUAUAUGUAUUUAUAUGCAUAAGAGCUAACUUUUACAUAGGUAUCUAUUCCUGUGUAUGUGUUUGUGCUCUCACAUACACAGGCACACAUACACACGACUCCCUCACUGGAAAACUUCACUGUGGUAGGUGACAGAGGGAACACAUGUGAAUGUGAGAUUUAUUGUGCUUAAAUAAUUUGCAGUCUGAAAAACAUUUACACCCCUAAUCACAGUUCAAGGCAAUACUACAGAUAAAGUGCUGUCGUAGUGCAAAAGAAAAAAAUAUUAAUUCCCAGUCAUAUAGAAAGGAUUAGAUUUAUCUGAUGUUAUCUUUCAAGAAGGAAAAGGCAUUUGAAUCUGGAAAAGAUGAGACAGGAAACAAAAAAUAUUGAGGGAGCAGAAUGUGCCAAGUCACAGGAACAAAAUAUUAGUGCUUUAUUCAGCAAGUAUAUGCAAUGAACAUCAUUCGUAGAAAUGAAAAUUUAUCAACUUAUUACUUAUGAUUAUCUCUUAUUAGCUUAUUAAUCAACUUAUUUCCCAUUCAUUUUUUUCCUUCAUUCAACAACUGUGGAAUGCUGAAGAUGGAUUUGUCCUUGUCAUAAAGGAUAUCCAUGUAUAAAAAAGAAAGAAGGCUUUGGGAGCUGAGGUGGGAGGAUCAUUUGAAGCCAGGCAUUCCAGGCCAGCCUGAGCAACAGAGUGAAAUCUCAUAAUCUUCAAAAACAGAAAAAUCAGCUGGGAGUGGGGUAUGCCACUGCACAUCAACCUGAGUGACAGAGCGAGAUUCUGUUCCUAAAACAAUAAAAUUAAAAUUAAAAAAUUAAAAAUAAAUAAAAUUUUAAAAAAGCAAGAAAGAGCUGGCCAUGUGCAAAUGGAAUUUGAUUUACUGUUAAAUAUUUUGUUACCCAAUUUUAAAAAAACUACAUUGUAUUCCUAAGAUAAUUCCCAUUAUUUGGGAUAUUUUACAUUCAAAAUUAUGGAAAUAUUUUUAAAGCCAUUUUCCAGACAGUCAAUGGUAAUAACAUGAAUUUGAGUUAGCAGCAUGAGUUUUAAAAAGAUUAUAGCAUCUUUGACUUUAUUCAUAGAAAUUUGUAGCACUUUCUGUAAGUUUGAUAAUUGUCCUCUUCAGUGCUUAGUUUUAAACUUAGUACUUGUUGACAUGAAAGAAAUAAUUGUGCUAAUAUCACUGGAUAUUAAACUACUCAAAUAGAAUCAUGGAGCUGGAAAUGGGUCGUUAGUUCAUUUUUUUUGGGGGGGGGGGCAGAUGAGAAUAUAUCUUAUUCUGAAAUUUUGUCUCAGAUAUGCUAGGUGGCUUAUAUUUGUUGUGUUUUUGUUCUAUUAUGAAAUGUCUAUUCAUUCUUCAGUUCUUACUGCAUUAAUCUCAAGGAGUAAGUCCUUUCUGUAUCAAUUGCUUCCUCAAAAACCUGAAAUAGUAUCUGAUGCCCAGAGAUUCAAGCCACAAUAGCACAUAGGGAAUGCUUUCAGUAGUUGGUCUUGUAAUAAACUACAUUGUUCUUGCUCGUAUGCAUGAUCCAGUUCCCCAUCUUUGUGCCUCUUUCUGCUUUACUUUUCCCAUUUUAUAGCGCUCUUUCAUUGAUAGGUAUUCAACUUCUGUUUCUUUUUUUUCUUUUAAUUUUUCUUUUUCUUUUUCUUUUUUUUUGAGACGGAGUCUUGCUCUGUUGCCCAGGCUCGAGUGCAGUGGCGCGAUCUCGACUCACUGCAAGCUCCGCCUCCCUGAUUCAUGCCGUUCUCCUGCCUCAGCCUCUCGAGUAGCUGGGACUACAGGCGCCCGCCACCACGCUCAGCUAAUUUUUUGUAUUUUUAGUAGAGACAGGGUUUCACCGUGUUAGCCAGGAUGGUCUCGAUCUCCUGACCUCGUGAUCCACCCCCCUCGGCCUCCCAAAGUGCUGGGAUUACAGGCGUGAGCCACAGCCCCUGGCCUCAACUGCUGUUUCUUUCAAAGAUGCAUACAAUUGAUUUAAUUCAGAUCUUGUUUUUAAUAUGUAUUCACCAUUGGACAAUGCAUGGUUUCUUUAAAUUUAAUUCAGUUGGAACCUGACGGAUGACUUCGGCCUGCUGGCAUGCUCUUUUCGUUUUACCGUUCCGUGCGUGCUCCAUUCCCCAUAGCCAUCAUCUUGAUUUUGUGUUUAUCAAUCCAUUGCUUUUUUAUAAUUUUCCUGGAUAUACAUAUUUAUCUAAAAAAUAUAACGUUUACAUUUGCUUAUUUUGAAAUUUAUUAGAAAAUAUUAUUCUGCAUGUAAACUUUAGAGUCAUUUUUUUGCCCAAUAUUUCGUUCCUCAUAUUUAAUCAUAUUAUUACAGAUAGCUGUAAUUGUUAUUGUUUAACACUUCGCUGUGGGAAAAUGAAACAGUCUAUCUAUUCUCCUGUCCAUGGCGUAUGAUUCCUUCUUGAUAUUAUGAUCAGUGCUGGUUUGAAUAUUUUUAUGUCUUCUAGUGUGUAUGUAAUCAACUAUAUAAUCCUGGAAAAUAAUAAAAUGUUUUAAACUGGU